rnacentral:lncRNA from 1 species
UGGAAGCAGGGAUGGUUCACCACUUGAAAAACUCUUAGCCGCAACAGAGAAAUGCCCCUGAAAGUUCAUUUCUCACUGAGUUUCUCCUUCAAAGUGCUGAUGUUUGACCUUUCCAGCUUUCCUGCCUCUUGUUGUGAAGUCCUUUCAUAUGGCUAAAUUGGACUCUGGGUGACAUCUGUGAUUCUGCCCAGCAGGUUUCUGGUGAGUGCUUGGAUCCCUCAUGAGUGGAUUCUGUGCUUCUUUAAAAAAAGAAAUUCUGUCAACUGCUGCCACACUGCCCAUGUAAAGGGUGUCAUGCAAGAAGGUUCUGGACAUGAAGACUUGCUGCAGGAGCCCCAGCCUAUUAAAAACAAUGCCUGUGUGAUUUCUUUCUGUUUUUUUAAUCCAUCUCACAGGUGAGGAGGAUCUGGGCAAUUGCCCUUUCUAGGCUUUCAAACUCAUCAGUCAGGAUUCUGAUUCCUCCCAAUGUUCUGAUUCCCAUUUCAGCUCUUUUCUCAGCUGGAUGUUUGACCUCAUUGUUGGUUUCUCAUAGUGCUGGUGCUGAGAUGUGGCCUUGAGGAAAUUUGCAGAUCAUAGGCAUCAAAUUAUAUAUAAAAUCCACCUGCUCCAAUCCUUUGCUGUUCACAGGGAGCCAGGGUCCCCUGUCCUGAAGCUGAGCCCCACUCAGGGAAGGUCUCCAAAAAUAACCUUGAUCUUUCCUCUCCCACAAUGAGAUCUAUUGCUCUGGACUGGGAGGGUGGCUCCUGAAAUGAUAUGCUAAUUCCCCAGCCAUUAGUGCAGCCUCAGAUGAACAUUUCCCUGUGAGGGAACAGGCUGUGAGACUUUCCCUGAGUUAUUUUCUCACCUGGGGCUUGCUCCAGAGGCAAUGAGCAGAGUUACUGCUCGAUCUCUCACUCACAAAGGAGUGAAGCAUGGUCAGGUUCCUCCUCUGACCUUAUGUUAGAAGAGAAAGUGCUUUUUAGUACUUUUUCUUUUUGACAUGACUGUACUCCUUUAUCUUCUUCCUAUUCUUCCUGAACACUAAACUCCCUUCACAAUCCCCUUGCUAAUCACAAAAUUCCUUUUUUCCUUCCUCCCUGUUUUACUCUGAUGUGUUACUAGAGAGAUACAUGAGAAUAAAACAAAAUAAAGUGUAAAUUUGGAAAACA